rnacentral:lncRNA from 1 species
CUGAGAAACGUGAGUUUGUCAUCAUUUUUUAUCUAGACAUAGGAUAGGUUGUGUGAAAAUAUUACUGAUGUUUAACGUUAAAAAUGGACCAAAAGAUUAAUGCUAAACAACAUUUGACAUGUUUGAACGAACAUAAAUAGAUUAUUUACUAGGUUUUUUUAGCUUUUCGGCGUGAUUUUACCAGCCCCCCAACCACGUUUUGUGGGAGCAUAAUGAACGCUAAGUACUUGGUGUUAUUUGGACAUAAAUUAUGAACUUUGUCAAAAGAAAACACAUUUGUUCCGGACCUGGAAUGCCUUCCGGACCUGGGAUCCUGCCUUCUGAUGGAGAUAAUCAAAGGUGUCGCCCAUCUUCCCCAUUAUCCCCUAUGUAUUUAUACCUGUGUUCUCUGUUUUUUCUGUUGCCAGUUCAUUUUGUUCAUGAAACCUACCAGCAUUUUCCCCCCCUGCUCCUGUCUGUUUCUUGCUCUUGUUUCCUUGUUUUUCCCGAUUUUGACCCUUCUUACUGUCCUGACCCUGAGCCUGCCUGCCGUUCUAUACCUUGCCCCACCUCACUGGAUUAAUGACCUCUGCCUGCCCU